UACGGAGGAUGCAAGCGUUAUCCGGAAUGAUUGGGCGUAAAGCGUCCGCAGGUGGCUGUUCAAGUCUGCUGUCAAAGACCGGGGCUUAACUUCGGAAAGGCAGUGGAAACUGAACAGCUAGAGUAUGGUAGGGGCAGAGGGAAUUCCUGGUGUAGCGGUGAAAUGCGUAGAGAUCAGGAAGAACAUCGGUGGCGAAGGCGCUCUGCUGGACCAUAACUGACACUCAGGGACGAAAGCUAGGGGAGCGAAUGGG
rnacentral:rRNA from 1 species